UACGUAGGUGGCAAGCGUUGUCCGGAUUUACUGGGCGUAAGAGCGCGCAGGCGGUCGUUCAAGUCGCGUGUGAAAGCCCCCGGCUCAACUGGGGAGGGUCACGCGAUACUGAUCGACUCGAAGGCAGGAGAGGGUAGUGGAAUUCCCGGUGUAGUGGUGAAAUGCGUAGAUAUCGGGAGGAACACCAGUGGCGAAGGCGACUACCUGGCCUGUUCUUGACGCUGAGGCGCGAAAGCUAGGGGAGCAAACGGG
rnacentral:rRNA from 1 species